GACCCUUGGGCCCUGGGGCAAGACUUCUGGGUUCCAGCCCUGGCUUUGUGGGGGCCUCGCUGUGUGUAAGUUCACACAGUUGAGGCAGCCCCUCUGUGUCCUCAGUGGCCCCAUCUGUAAAAUGGGGGCCCCUGGCAGGCCUGGCUCAUCACAGGCUCAACAGGCAUUUGCAGGAAGGAGAGGACAAAGGCCGGUCCUGCCGGCCACUGCUGCUGACCCACAUUGCAGAGGGUCUUCAGGGCCUGGACGUCCGCCCCGGGCCCAGGCAGGCAGGCAGGGUCCCCUCAGCAGCCCCUUGCCCCUGUCCCCACAGUGGCUGAAGAACCUGGGGCGUCUCAGGGAGAAGCAGACCCUGUGCUGUCAAACACUGGGCAUCCUGUUGAGCUGGCUGCUGGCCGCCACCUUGGCCUGGCUGUGCCUGAGUGGGGCCCAGGACCACCUGCGGCUGCUCCGCUGGCUGUUGGCCGUGGCCGUCAUCGCCCUCACCAUCGCCCUCUUCACCCUCUGCAUCCUCCGCACUGGUGAGUGGCUGCCAGCCAGACAGCAGGCACUGGCCGGCUCUGGCUCCUGGCAGUCAGGCUGGGGGCUUAGGUGGUGGCCCGGGGGCGCUCCCUGCCUGCCUCUGCUGACUGCCCUGGGUGGGGUGGGAGCAAUUCCUGGCGGCUCCUGGAGCUCCAGGUCCCAAGCCUGACUGAGGGCGCCAGGGCAGCCCUCAGGCGGGUGUGAGCCUCUGCUCUGAGCAGACAUGGGCACCCGGUCACCAGUGCUGAGGGCAGGCCCCGCCACCCAUGAGCCCCCGAAAGCAGCUGGAGCAGGGGAGUGGGGAGAGGGUGAAGAACAGGCAGAGACAGAAGCCGCUGGGACUGCAGAGACUGCUGCUGGGCUGGGGGCUCUUGGUCCAGCUCCUGGCAGGCAUCUGAGCCCUCCAUCAGAGAGAAAUGGUGCCCCAAAGUCUCACCCCUCAGGUAUCGCCACUGUUGUCCAGCUAUGGGGGCGCCCACCUGCCCCCAAGCAGUAUUUUUUUGUUGUUGCAUCUUCCAGCUUAUAAACAUUUUCUGAUGCAAAUAGAGUGCAGCCAGAGGGCUGCUCUGCGCUCUGCCGGGCUCCGCUUUGCUAAUGGCCUUUACAGAGGAAGGCAGUCACCCAGCAGCCGUGUGCGUGCACUGAGUUUACCUGACUAAUCGCUUUUGACGGAUGCUGGGAUUCUGUCCAGUGUGGGUGUUCUGCUUGCCUGCCUUUUUUGGCUGUUAUGACCAGUGCUCUGGGCACCACCUGUGCAAAUGCUUCUUGGCAUUUGCUUGGUCAAAGAGUAUGACACUGAUUAAAAAACAUCCUUAUUCGAGCAGUUGUGGGUUCACAGCAGAAAUCGAGCAGGAAGGGCAGGGUUCCCCUAGGCCCUCCCCCAUCAGUGUGGCAGAGUGGCGUGUUUGUCACCAUCGGUGAGCCUGCACUGAUGUGGCAUCAUCGCCAUGAGCCGUAGUUGACAUUAGGGUCCCCUCUUGGUGGUGCCCUGUUUGUGGGCUUGGACAGACUGUGUGACACCCAGCCACCAUUAUGGGGUCACACGGAGUAGUUCCACUGCCCUAAACAUCCAGCGAGCUCCACCUAUUCUCUCUCCCUCCCCGAGGCCCCGGCAGCCACUGAUCCUUUUACUGUGCCCAUAGUCUUGCCUUCCCCAGGAUGUCCUGGAGUUGGAAUUCUACAGUGGGUAGACCUCUCAAAGUGGUUCCUUUCACUGAGUAAUAGGCAUUUAAGGUUCCUUCUUGUCUUUUCAUGGCUUGAGAGCUCAUUUCCUUUUAGUGCCAGCUCCCCAUUGUCUGGAUGCAGGGCAGUUUAUUUACCCUGUCAUCUACUGAGGGGCAUCUUGCUGGCUUCCAGGCUGGGGGAGUUAUGUGCCCCAUUGACAUUUUAAUCCCUUGCAAGAGGCCACCUGCUCCACUCCCACGUGUGGGAGGCACAGGGCGCUCUGCUUCAUUUUGCAGGGCCUGCAUGCGUGGGGAGCCUGCCUGGGAGGGGAGGGAAAGCGGGGGUAUGUGUACAGCCUGUGGGAGAAAUGCCUGGAUGCUUUCUCCACCCCUGGAAGACAGGGUCUGCUGCCAUUGCAAGCUGUUCUUGGAGUGGAGGAACACCCACCAGACGGUGUAUAUAAAGAUUCAAAAACCAAGGAGCACGCGCAGCUGGCUGGGAGACUCCGGAAGAAGGUGGCAGAGGAGAUACCUGUGUGAAGGUCCGCCGGGCAGGGCCAGAGGCAUCUGGUGAUGCCCCCUGGGGCAUAUACCUUCCGAACUGAAUUGCCUUCUGCCCUUCCGAAUGCCACACCACCCCGAAUGAAUAAAUGGCGCCCUUUCCGGACAAAAUGGACUUGUCAGGAGAAAUGGCCAUCACCUCCAUUUUACAGAUGAGAAGAUGGAGGCCCUGAGCAGGGAAGCCUUUAAGGUCCCACAGCUCUAGGAAGUGGUGGGGGUUGACCACCCAUCUGCAUGG